rnacentral:rRNA from 1 species
GAUGAACGCUAGCGGCAGGCCUAACACAUGCAAGUCGAGGAGUAGAGGAAGCUUGCUUCCUUGACACCGGCGCACGGGUGCGUAACGCGUAUGCAAUCUACCUUUUACAGAGGGAUAGCCCAGAGAAAUUUGGAUUAAUACCUCAUAGUAUUUCCGAAUGGCAUCAUUUGAUUAUUAAAGCUCCAACGUUAAAAGAUGAGCAUGCGUCCUAUUAGCUAGAUGGUAAGGUAACGAGUUACCAUGGCAACGAAAGGUAUGGGUCGUGAGAGGGAGAUCCGCCACACGGGAACUGAGACACGGAACAGACUCCUACGGGAGGCAGCAGUGAGGAGUAUUGGACAAUGGGCGCAAGCCUGAUCCAGCCAUGCCGCGUGCAGGAAGACGCAUCUAUGGUGUGUAAACUGCUUUUGUACGGGAAGAAACACUCCCUCGUGAGGGAGCCUGACGGUACCGUAAGAAUAAGGAUCGGCUAACUCCGUGCCAGCCGCCGCCGUAA